ACGGGUGAGUAACACGUGAGCAACCUGCCCUGGACUCUGGGAUAAGCGCUGGAAACGGCGUCUAAUACUGGAUAUGAGCCCCUAUCGCAUGGUGGGGGUUGGAAAGAUUUUUUGGUCUGGGAUGGGCUCGCGGCCUAUCAGCUUGUUGGUGAGGUAAUGGCUCACCAAGGCGUCGACGGGUAGCCGGCCUGAGAGGGUGACCGGCCACACUGGGACUGAGACACGGCCCAGACUCCUACGGGAGGCAGCAGUGGGGAAUAUUGCACAAUGGGCGAAAGCCUGAUGCAGCAACGCCGCGUGAGGGAUGACGGCCUUCGGGUUGUAAACCUCUUUUAGCAGGGAAGAAGCGAAAGUGACGGUACCUGCAGAAAAAGCGCCGGCUAACUACGUGCCAGCAGCCGCGGUAAUACGUAGGGCGCAAGCGUUAUCCGGAAUUAUUGGGCGUAAAGAGCUCGUAGGCGGUUUGUCGCGUCUGCUGUGAAAUCCCGAGGCUCAACCUCGGGCCUGCAGUGGGUACGGGCAGACUAGAGUGCGGUAGGGGAGAUUGGAAUUCCUGGUGUAGCGGUGGAAUGCGCAGA
rnacentral:rRNA from 79 species